CCUGUGAACAUAGCUUUUCCUGCGUAUGACAACUGAAAAAUUAUGUAAGAAACAGCAGUAGAGACUUUCGAACCAGUAAUCUCACCUUAUUUUCCAUAAAUUCAACGAAAGCAAAAGGACUAAAAUUUGAAGAAAUCAUUGAUUCUUUUGCUGCAAAUCACAACAAGAUCCUUAAGUUAAACCUCCUCUCUGUGUUAAAUUCCCCAUGUUGGAACCAGAGAGGAGCCACGCUUUGAGAUGGAGUUUCGCUGGGUCUGGAUAGAGCAUCAGGCCUUUGUUCUGGGACAGUAGAUCCGUCUAGAAAGGCAGCAGUUGUGGGGCACAGACUGCUAGACAUGAGAGAAAGUUAAUGCUCUGCAAAUGUGUAGCGUGUGGAGUGAGGCCUUCCUCCUGUCAGCAUAUGGCUUCGGGAAAAAUACAGUCCUUCUCGACCCCCGUCAGCCAUGGAGUAAUGAGGCCUUGAGGUGGAAUACUGCAAGGCUGGGGUGACGUUCUGCAUCUUGUGAUAGAAGGUACCUAAAUGCCAAGGGUUUUCAAAGUCGCCUUUGAGUCCUUUACGGUGUGUAGUGAAACAUCGGUUUUGUCUGCAAAUAAUUUCUGUCCUUCGAUGGUCAAGUCCUUGGGAAUCUGGAGAGAUGGAGCCAGGAUGCACGGCGUGCAUGAACACAGAUGUGGCGAUGGAUCAUGCUGCCAUGUCUGCAGAAUCAAGGGAAGCCUAGAGGACUGUCCUGGCAAUCAGAGACCGUUCAGAAAGAUGGAAAAAUCAGAGGGAACAUUGUCGAUGGUGCUGAGUCUUGACUCUCCGAGGAUCCUGGUACUGAUAUGAUGAGAAGGUCCCAGGCAGCUGCAAACACCUCAGGAGUUGAUGGCACCACCAACUGGCUCGUGUGUUGUCUAUUCUAAGAUUGCUAGUUUGUAGGUAUCCAAGGAGCUUGCCGUGGCACCAGAGUUGCCAACACCUGAUGUUGUGGUGCACGGGGAGACAAGCGAUCCAGCGUGGAUCUCACUCUUUCCCUGUCUCCCUUUGAUUUCGGCACCAGAGAACUGGUCUUCUCCUGGGACUUGAGGUGCUUCUUAGGUACUGGGGAGGCCAAUCAGUGCCUAGAGUCCUGGGUCAAUGGAGAAUCACUCUGCACUAAAGCUGAGCUGCCUGGUGCUUAGUCCAAGUGCGGCUCCAAAGCUGGUCUUAAAGCUGUCUCCAUGAGAAGGACCUUCAGUCGGGCCUCUCGGUCCUUCUUGGUCCAGGGCCUGAAGUCCCUCAGAUUUGGCAGCAGUCUUUCCUAUGAGCUUCCCCCAGACACUUGAGACAGCUUGAGUGGGGGUCGUUCAAGAGCACAGGCUUACCGCAGGCAAUGCAGGGCUUGAAACUUGGAGACCGAGGCAUGCCCCGGCAUCGGGAAGGCGGACAACCCCGCAACUUAAGUGUGGAGGCAUCCAAGCUAAAACCGCAAACUACUAAAAACCACUCUAACUGUAACCGCUAUUUACACUAAACAUGUAUGAAAAAAACCACUAGGAGAGAAUUGUCUAAGCAAUGAAGGAUUCCAGACAACUGUCACGGGUGGUAAGAAGGAACCAAAGGGGAACGGGGUCAGCAUGGCCCUUUAUACUGGCACCAUGUGCACGUGGCACCAGAGGGUGCUAGAGUCAACUUGACGGAUACUGCUAGGGGGAAAAUUUCCAGCAACUGCGCUCUGAGUGCGCACACACCUAUGUGGGAAUAGACAUGUGCAAGUACUCUAAGAAGAAUCCCACUUAUGGAUAAACUCAGUGAAAAGAGGUACAGGCACAGGAACAUCGAAUCUAAGGCGCACUUCAAGCUGAAGAGAAGAAAGAACUGGACAGCAAGAGUGGAGCUGAAUUUACAGCCAAGGAAAGGAAAAGCUGAAUCUUCUCUGAAGUGACACAGAGUAGUGAUUGUAGAAUAAUCUCUUUUGUUUUUGUUAAUAACAAUGCACUUGGUACUAGCUGCACAGCAUGUAUGAGCUUACAAAGGUUAAUGAAUUGGUAAACUAUAGAUUAUUAUUAUAAAUAGUAAGCCUUUGGUAAUAUUCAAAAUAAUUUAUGCUCCUUGUAAAAUUUUUGUGUUUUUGCAAUUUAAAAAAUUUAAAAUUUUUAAAAUUUAAAAUGGUCUCUUUUAUCUCUGCCUCUCCUCACAGUUAACAUAGCCUAGCUGCGUCAUCACAUGAUCAUUUACGGACAGGGAGGAGGUCAUUCACUGGAGGAACAAGUGCUGCCUCUAUACCAUGACCAGAUUUAAAACCUCCUUGAGAGGGACCCAGAACACUGGCAGCUGAUUUUUCAUUAAAAUUGAUUUGUGCUAGUUUCUUGAUUAACAUGCUUAGAAAUCAGAGAUUAGACAUUGGGCAGUAGUUUGAGCAAUUACUCUCAUUAAGUGAUGGUUAGACUACUGUAUGUAUUAAGGUGGGUGGCAAAUUUUUCCCAUCAAAGGAGAUGUCAAUAAUCACAUUUAGUCAUGAUCCCAGCAUUCUCUUCUUUAAAAAAAAAUUCCUAUCCAGGAAGGCAGGGAUCAAAGUCACAUAGGUGGUCUGAUUGCCAUCAGUGCUUCCAUGGCCACUAUUUGUCCAAAUUAACCUAAUUCUUAGAGUAAGCCCUGUCUUUGGCUUGUUUUUAUUCUUGGUAGCCUACCCAUUAUAUACACAGGAGUCUAUGUUAUCCUAAAAACACAAACACUCAAGGCUAAACUGUGCCUUCUACAACUAUAUAACUCUAUUCAAGUUAAUGGCUGCGGUAUUAAUCCAGUAGUGCUUAUCUUUUAGGCCAAAAGCUAAUCAUUCCUUUCCUUUUCCAUGUGUGACAGGGUGUACCAGGCCUCUGUGGCCACUUGCUGGAGGUUCUGCAGUCCUACCUCACCCCAUCCUAGGAAAGGAGCAGCGAAGGUGGGUCUUCCAGACCUGCUUAGAGAGGCAGCAUAGAAGCAGCCAAUCAGAGCCCAGCAGGCUCAGAUUUAAAAAAGCUGCUGGAUCUGAACAGUGCAGUUCCUGGCUGGGACUAGAGAGGAAGGAAGGGUGCUCUGCUGUGGCCAAAGGAUCUUAACGGGCUGCCUUUACUGGGCCUGGGAGAGAGGACUUGAGAACUGUAACCUUAAGUAAAGGGUGAAAGGAAAGGGAUGAGGCGGGAAGUCCAGGGAAAACAGCAGCAACCAGUCAAAGAAAGCAGUACGCAGCUGCUGUUCAUAGGGUCCCUGGAUUGGGACCCGGAGUAGUGGGCAGGCCCAGGUUCCCCCAUUGGCCACUGGGAAAGUGGCCUAAGCCCCAAGCGAAGGGCUGGAUUAAAAAGGGCCCAGACGUUGGGCUGAAGACCUUGGUGAGGGCAGAUAGUUCUAAUGGACUUUUGCUACACUGGAAGGGUUAAUCCAUAUUGAUGGUGUGACUUAGCCAGAGGGUUGAGCAACUGAAGACCUGCCUAGUGAGGUUGGCAACCUGCAAGGGGCAACAUGAGCAGAAAAAAAGAUUGCAGCACCACACACAGCCAAUAGGAGGCACUCAGGAGAUGAGUGUCCCCCAUGACACCAUGUUACUGACUUUUUAUUUAUUCUUUUUCAUUGUAUUACUGAGCCCCCAUUUU